UUCCCGCCCUCCGCUCCGCUCCGCCCCGCUGUCCCUUCCGCGCUCCGGCCCCGCUCGGCCCCGUGCGCGUUAUGGCUUCGGUGGCGAACCCCGGGCAGGGCGGCUCCGCGCCGCCCCUCGCUGUCCAACGCGGUAUCGUUAAGAUGGUGCUUUCGGGCUGUGCCAUCAUCGUCCGGGGGCAACCACGUGGAGGACCCCCCCCGAACGUCAGAUCAACCUCAGCAACAUCCGUGCAGGCAGCCUGGCACGCCGCGCCGCUGCCGGGCAGCCCGAUGCCAGGGAUACACCGGAUGAGCCCUGGGGCUUCCCGGCCCGUGAAUUCCUGCGGAAGAAACUGAUUGGGAAGGAGGUGUGCUUCACUGUGGAGUACAAGACCCCCCAGGGCAGGGAAUACGGCAUGGUGUACCUGGGUAAAGACACGAGUGGUGAGAACAUCGCCGAGUCGCUGGUGGCAGAGGGGCUGGCAUCGCGCCGGGAGGGGAUCCGCGCCAACAAGUAUGUAUGAACCCCAGCUUGGUGAUG